rnacentral:rRNA from 1 species
UACAGAGGCCUCGAGCGUUAGUCGGAAUCACUGGGCGUAAAGCGUGUGUAGGCGGACGUCUAAGUACCUUGUGAAAUCCCACGGCUCAACCGUGGAACUGCUGGGUAUACUGGUUGUCUUGAGCCAGCUAGGGGCGAGCGGAACAGACGGUGGAGCGGUGAAAUGCGUAGAUAUCGUCUGGAACGCCGAAGGUGAAAACAGCUCGCUGGGGCUGCGCUGACGCUGAGACACGAAAGCCAGGGGAGCGAACGGG